AGCGGCGGACGGGUUAGUAACGCGUGGGAAUGUACCCUUCUCUACGGAAUAGCCUCGGGAAACUGAGAGUAAUACCGUAUACGCCCUUCGGGGGAAAGAUUUAUCGGAGAAGGAUCAGCCCGCGUAAGAUUAGAUAGUUGGUGGGGUAAUGGCCUACCAAGUCUACGAUCUUUAGCUGGUUUUAGAGGAUGAUCAGCAACACUGGGACUGAGACACGGCCCAGACUCCUACGGGAGGCAGCAGUGGGGAAUCUUGGACAAUGGGCGCAAGCCUGAUCCAGCCAUGCCGCGUGUGUGAUGAAGGCCUUAGGGUCGUAAAGCACUUUCGCUAGAGAUGAUAAUGACAGUAUCUAGUAAAGAAGUCCCGGCUAACUCCGUGCCAGCAGCCGCGGUAAUACGGAGGGGACUAGCGUUGUUCGGAAUUACUGGGCGUAAAGCGUACGUAGGCGGAUCAGAAAGUAUGGGGUGAAAUCCCAGGGCUCAACCCUGGAACUGCCUCAUAAACUCCUGGUCUAGAGUUCGAGAGAGGUGAGUGGAAUUCCGAGUGUAGAGGUGAAAUUCGUAGAUAUUCGGAGGAACACCAGUGGCGAAGGCGGCUCACUGGCUCGAUACUGACGCUGAGGUACGAAAGUGUGGGGAGCAAACAGGAUUAGAUACCCUGG
rnacentral:rRNA from 1 species